GGCGCACAAUUGAAGAAGAGUGGAUUAGUAUGGUCAGUUGAUCCUACUGAUCAACUCUCUUCAAAUCUGGGCCC
rnacentral:pre_miRNA from 1 species